GCAGUCUGCCGGUCUGUCGCUCAACCCUUCCGGUUGGGAGGAAAGUCCGGGCAACACAGAGCACCAUACUUCCUAACGGGAAGCUGUCUGCGAGGGCAGAGUAACGUAACAGAAAAGGACCGUUCCGCACAUCUGAUGAGGGGUGGAAUAAGGGUGAAAAGGCGAGGUAAGAGCUCACCGGGUAGUAUAGCAAUAUAGUAUGCCGUACGUCUUAUGGGUUGCAAGGUCAUGUACACCGGCGUAAGUAGGAUGGCUCGUCCGAUGCCGGGGGGUAGACCGCUAAAGCUUGCCGGCGACGGCAAGAGGAGAUAAAUGACAGACGCUUUCGCUGCAAGGCGUAAGUACAGAACCCGGCUUACAGGCAGACUGCUUUU
rnacentral:RNase_P_RNA from 1 species